AUGUACCUGCUUCAACAAUGGAGUUUUGAGUACCUACUAGAGAUCUCACUCUUCUACCCCACUCAGCAUCUCUGUGAUACUAGUACUUCUAGUACUACUACUACCAGUCAGAGCUACCUCUUGCAAGACCAGCAGGAGCUUGAAGCCCGCUUGGAAGUUCAUAUCAUGAGCCUUUUGGCAGCCUUGGAAGGAGAACAUCACGGUGGGGAGAAGGUACUGAAGGGCGAGGUCGGUCGCGACGCCGGGGAGAAGAAGCGCAAUGGACCAGAGGAGAAGCCACUGCUGUCGUUCCAGCAGGUGUCGCAGUGCUUCUGCAUGCCGAUCAAGCAGGCGGCGGAGGAGCUCAAUGUUGGGCUGACGCUCCUGAAGAGGCAGUGCCGGGAGCUCGGGAUCCCGCGGUGGCCGCACAGAAAGUUGAAGAGCCUGGAGACGCUCAUCAAGAAUGCUCAGGAGCUAGGGAAGCCUAUGGUUGAAGUGGAGAUGCUGCAGCGGAAGAAGAAGCUGAUCGAGGAGAGGCCUGGGCACAUUGAGCUGGAUGAGGAGACGAAGGUGCUGAGGCAGGCGUGCUUCAAGGAGAAGUUCAAGAGGAGAAGGCUCAUGGCAAUGGAGCGGUAA
rnacentral:rRNA from 1 species